rnacentral:tRNA from 1 species
GGGCACGUAGCUCAGUUGGCUAGAGCGCCACAUUGACGUUGUGGAUGUCGGGGGUUCAAAUCCCUCCGUGCCCACCA